GACUGAUUUUAGAAUUAUCCAUUGUUCCUGUGCAGGUCUUGACUCAGAUGGAAUGAAACUAUGUCUGUUCAUCGGGGUGCUGCAUCGACAUUGAUGGCACUUUCUAGUGCCUAGUCAACUGGUUGUCAACAAUGCAUUGGCUGAGAGUGUCACAGAUAGCCCUCCUAGUUAGGGUUGCAGCCUUAUUCCAAGGACAAGCGUAAGCUGUCUAGCCUGAACAAGAAUGAUACAGUGAGCAAUAUGCAAGCUCAUGUUGUCCAGUCCCUGGGGGAUGAAAGCUGACAUAUCACGCAUGCUUUCCACCUGAGCCUCGCGUAAGGAGACCAAGAAGGAGAAGGGACACAGAAUGCAGGAGAUACAGGGUCAGAAUGAGAACUGCAAGUUGCUACCCUAGUCUAGUGAUCCAGGAAUGUGAUGAUUACAACUAUGAUCCCUGAGGUAGAAGGACAGAGGGAAGGUCAGGCUGCAUUAGAAGGUGUGAGAGAUCACAUUCAGGUGGAGAAGGAUCAGCUGAGGGACUCUACAGCCCAGGGACCCAUUUCAUAAAAACCAAGAACUGUCGUAACCUUGCCAUUAUGGUAACAUGGCUGAGUGGCCAAUCAAAAUCAAGGUUACCAUGUUAGUUACAAUAAUGGCAACUUUGCGAUAGUUGUAAGUCCUUAUCAAAUGGGUCCCUGGAGGGCCAUCGCAAAGGACAGAGGGAUUCUAAGCAAGAGGAUCUACAGCACCAGCACACCAUCACAGCACUGCAAAAGAAUGUACAGAGGAAACAAAGGUUGGAGGAUCUACAGCACCAGCACACCACCACAGCACUGCAAAAGAAUCUACAGAGGGAACAAAGUUGGACUUAUACCACAAGGAUUUCUGUUAGCUUGGAGCAAGCCGAUCCAAGAUAAACCAAGAAGUCAAUGGAUUGAUCAAAGCCUUCCAAUCUUAUUGUAAAGUAAAAACAUGGUUAUUGAAGCCUAAAUCAUGGCAUAGAAAUUACACUAGGAAAUGUCAUUUGAGGUAACAAAUUUAGUAUUUUAUUCUCAGUUGAAUGUUGUUCCUCUUUUGUAAAAAUUUAUUCAUCCAACUUGUUUUCAUAAGUCUGCUCUGCUGCCAUCUAAUGCAGACAGGACUGCCGUCAUAGACAUUCCACUUGACUAUUUUAUAACACAGGAUUUCUGUCACAUAAAUUGAAUUGAAUGAACACGCAUCAGUUUAAACUUUAUGUCAAUUCAUCCAAAAGACAUCGACUAUCAAAUAUUCGAUAUGCAUAUAUGCAUCCGUUAAUUAUGAUCCCAUUUUGUUAUGUAUUUUAUGAUUACCUUUUUUUUGUUGUUGUAAAUCUAAGGAGCAGGUCCAAGCUAUCAUCUCUUUGCCGACAGUUUCUGAAUUGCCUAUUGUUUUUGUAAGGCAGGAUUACAUUAAGUCUAAACAAGAUUGGAAAUGAAUUUUGUGAGGCUUAGGCUUCAUAAGAAUGAGAUGGUUUGGUAAUAAGGCCUUGUGGUUAUUUGUGGUGUUAACUUACUAUACCUUGAUGAAGUUUGUAUAAUUUGUUUUUAUUUAGUUCCGAAUAUUCUGCAAAAGUGGAUCCAAAGGUUUUCCAGAGUUUUUCCCUACAGUGUUUUAUCUCUGGUUUUUUACCCUGGAUCUACUUGUCGUAGAAUUGUUAGAGGGGAAGUUCAUUCUGACAAUAAGUUGGUUUUAACAAAACAAGGAAAAUUACUGGAAAAUAUUGGUGAAGGUUGAUUGAAAUCU
rnacentral:lncRNA from 1 species